GGGAAAGAGCUUGCUCUUUCCGGAAUUGAGUGGCAAACGGGUGAGUAACACGUAAACAACCUGCCUUCAGGAUGGGGACAACAGACGGAAACGACUGCUAAUACCGAAUAAGUUCCAAGAGCCGCAUGGCCCAUGGAAGAAAAGGUGGCCUCUACCUGUAAGCUAUCGCCUGAAGAGGGGUUUGCGUCUGAUUAGCUGGUUGGAGGGGUAACGGCCCACCAAGGCGACGAUCAGUAGCCGGUCUGAGAGGAUGAACGGCCACACUGGAACUGAGACACGGUCCAGACUCCUACGGGAGGCAGCAGUGGGGAAUCUUCCGCAAUGGGCGAAAGCCUGACGGAGCAACGCCGCGUGAGUGAUGACGGCCUUCGGGUUGUAAAACUCUGUGAUCCGGGACGAAAAGGCAGAGUGCGAAGAACAAACUGCAUUGACGGUACCGGAAAAGCAAGCCACGGCUAACUACGUGCCAGCAGCCGCGGUAAUACGUAGGUGGCAAGCGUUGUCCGGAAUUAUUGGGCGUAAAGCGCGCGCAGGCGGCUUCCCAAGUCCCUCUUAAAAGUGCGGGGCUUAACCCCGUGAUGGGAAGGAAACUGGGAAGCUGGAGUAUCGGAGAGGAAAGUGGAAUUCCUAGUGUAGCGGUGAAAUGCGUAGAGAUUAGGAAGAACACCGGUGGCGAAGGCGACUUUCUGGACGAAAACUGACGCUGAGGCGCGAAAGCGUGGGGAGCAAACAGGAUUAGAUACCCUGGUAGUC
rnacentral:rRNA from 1 species